AGGACGAACGCUGGCGGCGUGCCUAACACAUGCAAGUCGAGCGAGGAGAUCCUCGGGAUGAUCCUAGCGGCGGACGGGUGAGUAACACGUGGGCAACCUGCCUCAUAGAGAGGAAUAGCCUUCCGAAAGGGAGAUUAAUACCUCAUAACAUUGCAGUUUCGCAUGGAACAGCAAUUAAAGGAGCAAUCCGCUAUGAGAUGGGCCCGCGGCGCAUUAGCUAGUUGGUGAGGUAACGGCUCACCAAGGCGAUGAUGCGUAGCCGACCUGAGAGGGUGAUCGGCCACAUUGGGACUGAGACACGGCCCAGACUCCUACGGGAGGCAGCAGUGGGGAAUAUUGCACAAUGGGGGAAACCCUGAUGCAGCCAACGCCGCGUGAGUGAUGACGGCCUUCGGGUUGUAAAGCUCUGUCUUCAGGGACGAUAAUGACGGUACCUGAGGAGGAAGCCACGGCUAACUACGUGCCAGCAGCAGC
rnacentral:rRNA from 1 species